rnacentral:rRNA from 1 species
UACGGAGGGUGCAAGCGUUGCUCGGAAUUACUGGGCGUAAAGCGCGUGUAGGCGGUUUCGUGUGUCUGGUGUGAAAUCCCCGGGCUCAACCCGGGAAGUGCAUUGGAAACUGCGAGACUAGAGUCCCGGAGAGGAAGGUGGAAUUCCAGGUGUAGCGGUGAAAUGCGUAGAUAUCUGGAAGAACACCGGUGGCGAAGGCGGCCUUCUGGACGGUGACUGACGCUGAGACGCGAAAGCGUGGGGAGCAAACAGG